CGGACGCUCUUGAUACUUGCG
rnacentral:snRNA from 1 species